GGUCUGAACCGGUCUAAACCGGUACACCUGCCAGUACCAGUACGGCGUACUUUGCUUAAGGGUGAAUUGAAGUUCACCAAAAUUCACCAUUGAUUUUAUCUCUGAAUUGCAAAGACAUCAAAUUUCUUUCUAGCAGGAGAUAAGUUGCAUUGCAUUAGUGUGCAAUGUUUGUAAAUCUCAUUUGCUAAAGAUAUUUCUGACAUAAGUUGCUUUUUGUUGGCAAAAGUAGCUUACCUCAAUGAAACUUGACUUUACAUUUUUAACCUGCCCGAAAGAUUUAUGGUACUUUGCUACUAUUUAAUAGCGACUGUUCUUGCAAAGUUUACCAAGUCUGAUAGCUGAAAAUUAGGACACUUUGAUGGUACCAUGAUUAUAAAAAGAAAAGCGAUGCAUGAUGAUUAUGAUUUAAUUGGAAACCUAAUGCAGCUAGUAGAGUGAAUCAAAUGAAUUGUUUGGAUUUGGAAACUUGGACUAGAUAAGCAUAUGUUGUGAAUAAACAGAUCUACUUUGCUGGUCAUCUUUAAAUUUUAGCAUUUAUAGUUCAAUUUUAUUUUCUUUAAAUCAUUAAAAAAUAAUAAUCGCUAAAAUUAACAUCUCUUACUCUAGCAGCAAAUUUACU
rnacentral:lncRNA from 1 species